GCUCCUGUUUUAGUAUUAUUGAGUCUGGCUCCAAGACUGGCCCAAGGCUUGCCCGGCCUUAGCUGAUUCUGUAUCACUUUUAACCGAAUGGUGGCACCAUGGGCAGCAGCUCCCACCUGCAGCUUCCUGUUAGAAAUUUCAUUAGGUGCUUGACCAUUCUGUGAGUGCUGCUUUGGUGCAGGCUGGACAGAGCCUCCAGAGCUGGACACACAGCUACUUGCAGCUCGAAUACGCUGCCCGCAGGUCUGGUGCGGCAGCUCCAUCUGAAAUACCUGGCACUCCGGUGCAGCCCUGGCUGGGCUUUCCUUCCAACAUUGGACACACCUUGUUCAAAAGAAUUUGCUAGUUUGCUGGCAGAUGGCUGAAAUCCCAGCACUCAGGAGGCUGAGGCAGGAGGACUGCUACAAUUGUGACUGGACUAUGCAACGUGUGCGCGACUGCCGAGCGAGUGUUCGUGACAAGUGGGGCUCAAGGACCUUUCCUUCCUGCGGAUCUCAGAACGUCAAGGUGCUGUUAGGCGGGAAUCCUGGGUUUCUUUUUUUAAAGUUUCAUUCUUCCCGGCACACAUUUGCAGGAUGUAAAAAUCACAUUCCUCAUGGGGCAGUGGGUCAUGGAUUCAAAGAGCCAUCAUGUCAUUCUUUUAAUGUCACCUUCCCUUCCCUUCCUUGCUCUCUCCAUCCCUUGGUUCCUGUCCCUUUUGCCAAAGAUCAAUUUCUCUGUUUCCGACUAGCUGCCUUUUACUUUGCUCUUUAAUUGAUUUGUACUUCGGUUUCUCAAGCCUGUGUGUCUGACCGUUCACCUCACCUUCGCUCCUGCGUGGAGUGACUCGGAAUGAGGCGGAAGUCGAGGCCCAGCCUGCAGUAGACACUCGUCCCCUCUUCCUUCUGCAUGCUUCCCUGCCAAGCCCACAGGGCCCGGGGCUCUGGCCUUAUUUCCAAGCCCGUCUCCCUUUAAAAGCUGUGGGAGAUUUAGCUUAGGUGGAAAACCGCUUGCAGGAAGUUGAUCCAUGGCUUUUCUCCUCAUUGUGGGGGUCAGUUCUUACCCUCAAGUAAACUGGGAUCUGUGAGUGGAAAAAGUGGAAACAGCAACAACAACUUGUGACGACUGUCACGUGCAUCUGCUCCCGUCUCCAGCCCUUGGAAAUCCCCGGGGCUCUCCUUAGAGUCCCAUCUCUAGGACGCAUCAGGCCUGCGUCGGGCUUGGUUAGUCACUCUGUUUAUUUAAUCUCACUCACACGGAACUCAGACGUGUCUGAGAACACAGAAGGGUCCUCUUUGCUUCACAGUGUGUCUCUGACUUUUCAUAACCACCCGUCCCCCCACCCCAAAGUGACAACGCGUGCCAAGCCGCUCUCUGGGGAACCGGGAAUGUACGCAAGACAGCUCUGCAGUCCUCCAGCUCCAGCCAGCUCCCGUGAGCCUCACAGCUCCAAGUUAAACCGGAGUGGUAAACAAUCCUUUCUCCAAGCUGCUUCCUCUCUCACGGCCAGCGCUGACGCAGGCUGGGCGGGAAGGGGGGUCUGGGAGGACCAGACAGCUGCAGGGGACGGGACUUGGCAGCUGCUGGUAAACUCCGAAGAGCAAGAACCUGGGAUCAGGGACCUUGGGGAGGGUCAAUUGCUUCCUCUUUCCCAGUUUCUCACAAAAAUGUUGGAAUCCACCUUCUCCUCUGCUCAUGGGCAGCCGGUGCUGACGGAAGUCUGCCCUCUUAAACUUGCUUCUAGUCAGGAGAAACUGCUUAUAUUGUUUUUCUCAAGCCUAUUAAUAGCCUGGAAAAGAGGUACACAGGCUGAAUUUUAAACAACACCGCACACGUUUCCCUGCGGUUGUUUUCAUUGUGUUCUGUGAUCUGAAUUCUAUCUUUUCUUCAACAAUAUGCAUUUGACAGUCAGUUCACAUGGGAUAGUAGCAUGGAAAAUAUAUACUGGAUAGAUUCACUGCAGCUACACAGCUGCAGUUUUUGCAAUUUCAUUGCAUUUUUUCCCCCAAACAUACCCUUAGGGACGACAUAAUAAAGGUCAUAUAAAUAGUAUGGAAUUAAGAUUUUUACAUAAAUUUAAGUACUGCAAUAAA